rnacentral:rRNA from 1 species
UACGGAGGGUGCAAGCGUUAUCCGGAAUCACUGGGUUUAAAGGGUGCGUAGGCGGUUUAGUAAGUCAGAAGUGAAAGCCUGCGGCUUAACCGUAGAAUUGCUUUUGAUACUGCUGAACUUGAAUUAGGUUGAGGUUGGCGGAAUGUGACAUGUAGCGGUGAAAUGCAUAGAUAUGUCAUAGAACACCAAUUGCGAAGGCAGCUGACUAGACCUUAAUUGACGCUGAGGCACGAAAGCGUGGGGAGCGAAC